rnacentral:lncRNA from 1 species
AACAAAGCAGAGAAGCCAACAUGGCAGUUUCCAAGUUUGUGCAACCCAAGAAGGCCCCAGUAAGCGACAACGUGCUCCUCCUGGUGUUGAUACAAGAAUUCACUGGGAGAAUGAAGAUGAAGGCUGGGUAGGAGGAAGUAAAUCACAGUCAGCACAAGAACGAAUCAAAGCAGACGAAAAGAAUCUCCUUGAUGAAAAAUUCUCUGACCUGCUCAACAGUUCAGCUGAUUCUCACUACCAGUUAAUCUUCAUUUUCUAUCUCCAGAAAGUUUGCUAUUAUCUUAUCUCUAAAUGUGUGGCUCACAGUUCAAAGGAGAGAGUUUCCAUUUGUUGCUUCUACUUCCCUUAAUUUAAGGAUAAGAAAAGGAUAUACAUAAAUAUAAUUGCCUGUUCUGAGAAAAUGCACACAUGAUAUAUCAGAAGGGAUAAAGUUCAAUCAGAAAAUUCUAAUUCCAAUGUUUCAGAAUCUUUCCAUAGCACGGGG